AUUGAACGCUAGCGGGAUGCCUUACACAUGCAAGUCGAACGGCAGCGCGGACUUCGGUCUGGCGGCGAGUGGCGAACGGGUGAGUAAUGUAUCGGAACGUGCCCAGUAGCGGGGGACAACCACUCGAAAGAGUGGCUAAUACCGCAUACGCCCUACGGGGAAAGGGGGGAGUCGCAAGACCUCUCACUAUUGGAGCGGCCGAUAUCGGAUUAGCUAGUUGGUGGGGUAAAGGCCUACCAAGGCGACGAUCCGUAGCUAGUUUGAGAGGACGACCAGCCACACUGGGACUGAGACACGGCCCAGACUCCUACGGGAGGCAGCAGUGGGGAAUUUUGGACAAUGGGGGAAACCCUGAUCCAGCCAUUCCGCGUGUGCGAUGAAGGCCUUCGGGUGUAAGCACUUUGGUCAGGAAAGAAAUACGUGUGGGUUAAG
rnacentral:rRNA from 1 species